rnacentral:rRNA from 1 species
UACGGAAGGCAGCAGUGGGGAAUAUUGCACAAUGGGCGCAAGCCUGAUGCAGCCAUGCCGCGUGUAUGAAGAAGGCCUUCGGGUUGUAAAGUACUUUCAGUCGUGAGGAAGGUGUUAAGGUUAAUAAUCUUAGCAAUUGACGUUAGCGACAGAAGAAGCACCGGCUAACUCCGUGCCAGCAGCCGCGGUAAUACGGAGGGUGCGAGCGUUAAUCGGAAUUACUGGGCGUAAAGGGCACGCAGGCGGUUAAUUAAGUUGGAUGUGAAAUCCCCGGGCUUAACCUGGGAAUGGCAUUCAAGACUGGUUAGCUAGAGUCUUGUAGAGGGGGUAGAAUUCCAUGUGUAGCGGUGAAAUGCGUAGAGAUGUGGAGGAAUACCGGUGGCGAAGGCGGCCCCUGGACAAAGACUGACGCUCAUGUGCGAAAGCGUGGGGAGCAAACAGGGAUUAGAUACC